CAGUCGCCGCGGUAAUACGAAGGGUGCAAGCGUUACUCGGAAUUACUGGGCGUAAAGCGUGCGUAGGUGGUGGUUUAAGUCCGUUGUGAAAGCCCUGGGCCCAACCUGGGAAUUGCAGUGGAUACUGGGUCACUAGAGUGUGGUAGAGGAUAGUGGAAUUUCCGGUGUAGCAGUGAAAUGCGUAGAGAUCGGAAGGAACAUCUGUGGCGAAGGCGACUAUCUGGGCCAACACUGACACUGAGGCACGAAAGCGUGGGGAGCAAACAGGAUUAGAGACCCCUGUAGUCCCUGUCUCUUAUAC
rnacentral:rRNA from 1 species